rnacentral:misc_RNA from 1 species
GAAAUUUACAAGUUUUAACACUGCAAAAUACUAUGGUGUAAAAGCCCACAGCAUAAUGGUAGUUGAUUGUCAUCAUCAAGCUCAGGCAACCAAGCUUUUAAAUCAUGGACAACAGUAUUUUAUUCGACCGUGGUGAUAUAAUCAGCAUAUUUAUUGCUACCAAUAGAAAAAUCAGGGGCAAAAUAAUGCAUUUUAACCUUGAUUUUUCUAAUGGUAACACUGAAUAUUCAUCCAUCACAUGCUUUGGCAUCAUAAAUUGGCAUAAAUUAGGCCUCAACAGCACACAAUCAAGUAGUUGGGGAGUUGAUAACACCCAAACCACAGUUUGAGUGCUCAUUAUCAAAAAGUGCAAUACUUCAGGGGCCAUAUAAAAACAAGCCAUGCCUUCCUAGUUGGAAGCACAAUCAUAUUAUUAAACCCUUCUUUGGGCAUUGAACUUACCGAUUAUACUUGAGCUUUGAACUU